UACGUAGGGGGCUAGCGUUAUCCGGAAUUACUGGGCGUAAAGGGUGCGUAGGUGGUUUCUUAAGUCAGAGGUGAAAGGCUACGGCUCAACCGUAGUAAGCCUUUGAAACUGGGGAACUUGUGUGCAGAAGAGGAGAGUGGAAUUCCUAGUGUAGCGGUGAAAUGCGUAGAUAUUAGGAGGAACACCAGUUGCGAAGGCGGCUCUCUGGACUGUAACUGACACUGAGGCACGAAAGCGUGGGGAGCAAACAGG
rnacentral:rRNA from 1 species